GACGAACGCUGGCGGCGUGCCUAAUACAUGCAAGUAGAACGCUGAAGGAGGAGCUUGCUCUUCUGGAUGAGUUGCGAACGGGUGAGUAACGCGUAGGUAACCUGCCUGGUAGCGGGGGAUAACUAUUGGAAACGAUAGCUAAUACCGCAUAACAGUAGAUGUUGCAUGACAUUUGCUUAAAAGGUGCAAUUGCACCACUACCAGAUGGACCUGCGUUGUAUUAGCUAGUUGGUGGGGUAACGGCUCACCAAGGCGACGAUACAUAGCCGACCUGAGAGGGUGAUCGGCCACACUGGGACUGAGACACGGCCCAGACUCCUACGGGAGGCAGCAGUAGGGAAUCUUCGGCAAUGGACGGAAGUCAGACCGAGCAACGCCGCGUGAGUGAAGAAGGUUUUCGGAUCGUAAAGCUCUGUUGUAAGAGAAGAACGAGUGUGAGAGUGGAAAGUUCACACUGUGACGGUAUCUUACCAGAAAGGGACGGCUAACUACGUG
rnacentral:rRNA from 1 species